rnacentral:rRNA from 1 species
AGCAUAUCAAUAAGCGGAGGAAAAGAAACCAACAGGGAUUGCCCCCAGUAACGGCGAGUGAAGCGGCAACAGCUCAAAUUUGAAAUCUGGCCCUCGGGUCCGAAUUGUAAUUUGCAGAGGAUGCUUUCGGCGCGGCGCCUUCCGAGUGCCCUGGAACGGGACGCCUUAGAGGGUGAGAGCCCCGUACGGUUGGACGCCUAGCCUCUGUAAAGCUCCUUCGACGAGUCGAGUAGUUUGGGAAUGCUGCUCAAAAUGGGAGGUAAAUUUCUUCUAAAGCUAAAUACCGGCCAGAGACCGAUAGCGCACAAGUAGAGUGAUCGAAAGAUGAAAAGCACUUUGAAAAGAGGGUUAAACAGCACGUGAAAUUGUUGAAAGGGAAGGAUUUGCGACCAGACCUUUUCCCGGCGGAUCAUCCGGCGUUCUCGCCGGUGCACUUCGCCGGGUCGAGGCCAGCAUCGGUUUCCGCGGGGGGAUAAAAGCUCCGGCAACGUAGCUCCCUUCUGGGAGUGUUAUAGGCCGCUGCAUAAUACCCCCGCGGGGACCGAGGUCCGCGCUUCGGCAAGGAUGCUGGCGUAAUGGUCGCCAAUCACCCGUCUUGAAACACGGACCAAGGAGUCGAACAUUUGUGCGAGUGUUUGGGUGUUAAACCCUCACGCGUAAUGAAAGUGAACGGAGGUGAGAGCCCUUACGGGUGCAUCAUCGACCGAUCCUGAUGUCUUCGGAUGGAUUUGAGUAAGAGCAUAACUGUUCGGACCCGAAAGAUGGUGAACUAUGCGUGGAUAGGGUGAAGCCAGAGGAAACUCUGGUGGAGGCUCGCAGCGGUUCUGACGUGCAAAUCGAUCGUCAAAUCUGCGCAUGGGGGCGAAAGACUUAUCGAACCAUCUAGUAGCU